GUGUGUGGCCAUACCACACUGAGUACACCGGAUCGCAUCUGAUCUCAGAAGCUAAGCAGGGUCAGGACAGGUUAGUACGUGGAUGGGAGACAAAACAAGAAUGUUCAUUUCAGCUUCACUGA
rnacentral:rRNA from 1 species